rnacentral:rRNA from 1 species
UUUGAUCCUGGCUCAGGAUGAACGCUGGCGGCGUGCUUAACACAUGCAAGUCGAACGGUGAAGCCAAGCUUGCUUGGUGGAUCAGUGGCGAACGGGUGAGUAACACGUGAGCAACCUGCCCUGAACUCUGGGAUAAGCGCUGGAAACGGCGUCUAAUACUGGAUAUGAGCUGCGGAGGCAUCUUCGUGGUUGGAAAGAUUUUUCGGUUUGGGAUGGGCUCGCGGCCUAUCAGCUUGUUGGUGAGGUAAUGGCUCACCAAGGCGUCGACGGGUAGCCGGCCUGAGAGGGUGACCGGCCACACUGGGACUGAGACACGGCCCAGACUCCUACGGGAGGCAGCAGUGGGGAAUAUUGCACAAUGGGCGGAAGCCUGAUGCAGCAACGCCGCGUGAGGGAUGACGGCCUUCGGGUUGUAAACCUCUUUUAGCAGGGAAGAAGCGAAAGUGACGGUACCUGCAGAAAAAGCGCCGGCUAACUACGUGCCAGCAGCCGCGGUAAUACGUAGGGCGCAAGCGUUAUCCGGAAUUAUUGGGCGUAAAGAGCUCGUAGGCGGUUUGUCGCGUCUGCUGUGAAAUCUGGGGGCUCAACCCCCAGCCUGCAGUGGGUACGGGCAGACUAGAGUGCGGUAGGGGAGAUUGGAAUUCCUGGUGUAGCGGUGGAAUGCGCAGAUAUCAGGAGGAACACCGAUGGCGAAGGCAGAUCUCUGGGCCGUAACUGACGCUGAGGAGCGAAAGGGUGGGGAGCAAACAGGCUUAGAUACCCUGGUAGUCCACCCCGUAAACGUUGGGAACUAGUUGUGGGGUCCAUUCCACGGAUUCCGUGACGCAGCUAACGCAUUAAGUUCCCCGCCUGGGGAGUACGGCCGCAAGGCUAAAACUCAAAGGAAUUGACGGGGACCCGCACAAGCGGCGGAGCAUGCGGAUUAAUUCGAUGCAACGCGAAGAACCUUACCAAGGCUUGACAUACACGAGAACGCUGCAGAAAUGUAGAACUCUUUGGACACUCGUGAACAGGUGGUGCAUGGUUGUCGUCAGCUCGUGUCGUGAGAUGUUGGGUUAAGUCCCGCAACGAGCGCAACCCUCGUUCUAUGUUGCCAGCACGUAAUGGUGGGAACUCAUGGGAUACUGCCGGGGUCAACUCGGAGGAAGGUGGGGAUGACGUCAAAUCAUCAUGCCCCUUAUGUCUUGGGCUUCACGCAUGCUACAAUGGCCGGUACAAAGGGCUGCAAUACCGCGAGGUGGAGCGAAUCCCAAAAAGCCGGUCCCAGUUCGGAUUGAGGUCUGCAACUCGACCUCAUGAAGUCGGAGUCGCUAGUAAUCGCAGAUCAGCAACGCUGCGGUGAAUACGUUCCCGGGUCUUGUACACACCGCCCGUCAAGUCAUGAAAGUCGGUAACACCUGAAGCCGGUGGCCCAACCCUUGUGGAGGGAGCCGUCGAAGGUGGGAUCGGUAAUUAGGACUAAGUCGUAACAAGGUAGCCGUACCGGAAGGUGCGGCUGGAUCACCUCCU